rnacentral:rRNA from 1 species
ACGCUCGACACCUACGGGAGACAGCAGUGGGGAAUAUUGCACAAUGGGGGAAACCCUGAUGCAGCGACGCCGCGCGAGCGAAGAAGUAUUUCGGUAUGUAAAGCUCUAUCAGCAGGGAAGAAGAAAGACGGUACCUGACUAAGAAGCCCCGGCUAACUACGUGCCGGCAGCCGCGGUAAUCUGAGCGGGCUGGCAAGGC